GAUGAACGCUAGCUACAGGCUUAACAAAUGCAAGUCGAGGGAACGGCACACGGGUGAGUAACACUUAUCCAACCUGCCCUUUACUCGGGGAUAGCCUUUCGAAAGAAAUAUUAAUACCCGAUAUAAAGGAUGAGGAUGCGUGCCAUUAGGUUGUUGGUGAGGUAACGGCUAGCCAAGCAGUCGAUGGAUAGGGGUUCGGAUGGGAAGGUACCCGACAUUGGAACUGAGACACAGUCCAAACUCCUACGGGAGGCAGCAGUGUGGAGUAUUAGUCAAGGGGCGCUAGCCUGAACCAGCCAAGUAGAGUGAAGGAUGAAGGCUUAUGGGUCGUAAACUUCUUGUAGAUAAGAAUCUGUAUUAGAUGAAUAAGGAUCGGCUAACUCCGUGCCAGCAGCCGCGGUAAUUC
rnacentral:rRNA from 1 species